GGAGAGUGAGAGCAGGGCUGAUAUUCAGCUCCUUCACAUUGGCACAGCUGCCCUGCUUGUUAGAACACUGAAAGCCUUCCCUGAGCUUCCCACUGACCUCCUGAUCUUCUCCGUGAUCCUGCAAAUGAAGGAUUAGUGCCUGGCACAGCCGUGGCCCUCCAAGGCUCUGCUUCAGUGGUGGUCAUUUUGACUGGUCAGUGCCUGUCUACACCAGUUGUUAAAUAUUUUGGUUAGGCCUCUAGAUGAGGGGGCUCAGGCACAGAGGCACUCACCAUGAGCAGGCGCUAGGAAGCAAAUGGUUUGCACGAUGACAUGUAUGCAUAGCUGCAUUUUGAAAUUACGUGCUUCUUGCUGCGUCCCCAGGGACAUGUAUUCUUGACCGCAGAAGGAAGAGCAGCUCCCCACAUCCCCUCAGUCCUGCCUGACACUGCACUGAAUGCUCAGCUUGCCCCUAGAGCAAUGGGGUGGAGAUCUCCUCUGGCAAACACGACAUAUAAUAUUUUUAUGAUGGAUGGAAAGACAUGGUGGCACAAUUCUGAAGAAAAAAAUUUCACAAAACAUGCAAAGAAACAGAAACAGUUGAAGAGCAGCUCCUGUGUCUAAGCCAGGUCCUGGGGCCAUCAAACCAGGACUUGAAACCACAAUGCGAGGACAUUCUCCAUCUGCGCACCACAGGGAGGCAAUUCCAUUUCUGCCCGGGAGGUGUAUUCUACAAAAACGUCUGCUUCCCAUCCCAAUUUGAAUGGACCAAGAAAAACUGCUUUACCAUAGGACACUUGUGGCAAUAUGGCACCAAUGGCUGGCGUCGGCGAACCCGACAGACUAUGGAUUUAUCAUUUAAUAAAGCAUUGAUUCAUUUUUUCAGUCAUUCAUUGAACAGAUAUUAAUAGACCACCUCACAUGCUGACAAUAUCAAAAUACAAUGAGGAAACUAACAGUGACCCAGGCAUGCAUUCUUCCCCGAGCAAGAUCACAGUCCAGAGUGUGAGCACAACCAUACUAAAUAGCUUUUAUGGGAGGUGGGAGUACACAAAGUAUUAUAUCUGCAAAGAAACUGCUAAGAAUUGUGGGAGCGCCCCAGGAGGUGAUUUCCUGCUUGCGUGACCAGCACAAAGAAAUGGGGUAAUUGAGAGUGUCAUGAAG
rnacentral:lncRNA from 1 species